GGAAAAUGUUUACUGUUUGUUUUCAUACCACAGAGAUCUGGAUCCAGAGAAUCUUCAGCGAAGCCUGAACGGCUCCUGCCAAGACACCGAUUUAACAAUCUGACUCAAGGAAGCCGAGCGGCAGAAGACCAAUAUAUCGGUGAUGCUGGCCCACGAACUCUAAGGACAGCUCCUGAAGAGGAGGGGGCGCCAGACGGAGGCUUCCACGUGAUUCCUGGACAAAUCUGUUUCCCCACAGAUGGUAGUGUUAAAUCGUCUAAAACAGACUCUGCACACCCCAGCUAUAGGUGCUCCCUAGCGCUCUGCAUCCCUGGGUGGCGCCUCCUUGGACUUCAGAUGUAAGCUGUCUGAUCCCUUGGACUUCAGAUGUAAGCUGUCUGAUACAUGUUCACGCAGCCUUCUCCCGAGCCCACUAACGUCUAAUGAUACGAUCUCAAUAAAAUACUUAAGAAAUAAACCA
rnacentral:lncRNA from 1 species